GCAGUCGAACGGCAGCAUAGGGAGCUUGCUCCCUGAUGGCGAGUGGCGAAUGGGNGAGAUANCACGCUAGGAAUCUUCCUCAGAGUGGGGGACAACCNUUGGGAAACUAGGGCUAAUACCCCAUAUUACGGCAACGUAAAAGGUUAGUUUACUAAUCGCUUUGAGAUGAGCCUGCGGUCUAUCAGCUUGUUGGUGGGGUAAUGGCCCACCAAGGCUACGACGGAUAGCCGGCCCGAGAGGGUGGUCGGCCACACUGGAACUGAGACACGGUCCAGACUCCUACGGGAGGCAGCAGUUAAGAAUCUUGCGCAAUGGGCGAAAGCCUGACGCAGCCACGCCGCGUGAGCGAUGAAGGCCCUAGGGUUGUAAAGCUCAGUAAAACAGGAAGAAUAAGCAGAGUCCAAUAGGUUCUGUGAUGACGGUACUGUUCUACAGCCCCGGCUAAUUACGUGCCAGCAGCCGCGGUAAUACGUAUGGGGCAAGCGUUGUUCGGAUUCAUUGGGCGUAAAGGGCACGCAGGCGGACUGUUAAGUUGGAUGUCUAAUCUAAAGGCUCAACCUUUAUAUGGCAUCCAAAACUGGUAGUCUAGAGUCCUGGAGAGGAAAGCGGAAUUCUCGGUGUAGCGGUGGAAUGUGUAGAUAUCGAGAGGAACACCAAUGGCGAAGGCAGCUUUCUGGACAGAGACUGACGCUCAGGUGCGAAAGCGUGGG
rnacentral:rRNA from 1 species